UCCCUAGUGGUCCAGUGGAUAAGACUGCUCUCCCAAUGCAGGGGGUCCAGGUUCGAUUCCUGGUCAGGGAA
rfam:TPA: Bos taurus chromosome 10, whole genome shotgun sequence.